rnacentral:rRNA from 1 species
UACGAAGGGGGCUAGCGUUGCUCGGAAUCACUGGGCGUAAAGCGCACGUAGGCGGCUUCUUAAGUCAGGGGUGAAAUCCUGGAGCUCAACUCCAGAACUGCCUUUGAUACUGAGGAGCUUGAGUCCGGGAGAGGUGAGUGGAACUGCGAGUGUAGAGGUGAAAUUCGUAGAUAUUCGCAAGAACACCAGUGGCGAAGGCGGCUCACUGGCCCGGUACUGACGCUGAGGCA